UUGAUGGGGUCAAAAGUGAAGGCGUUCAGAUCGUAGCCAGCGGUGGCGCGGACGGAGAGGGAGCGCGGUUUGAGACCGACGGAGACAGGUGCGGCGGAGGAGAUGGAUGAGCCAUGGAAAUAGGAGUCGAAAAGGCGCUGAGGCUUGGUGGAAGAGAGGGAGAGAGUAGAGGUGAUGGACGCCAUAUUUGAGAGGUGUGUUUAUGUUUUGAGUGACGAUGAAGAUGAUGGUGGUGAAGUGAAACUGUGGUGGCUGUUGAAUAUUUAAAUUAGAAGAUGAAGAAAUAUCUGGAGAGUGAUGGCCACGUCAGAGAUAAGGCAUGAAGGGUCGUCGAUUUUUUGUUUUAUUUUUUAUAUAAAUGAAAUUAUUAAUUUCUGCCAUUAAUGGAAACAUUGGAAAGUAACGAUCUCCUUCCUUCACGGUUCGAAUUGAAUGAAGGAAGUUUUGAAAAUUUUCAUGACUUUUGAAAAAACCAAAGUUUAGUGAGAAAGUUAACAUACUUAUUUGUUUUUGUUACCCGAUUAAACCAGAAAUAUUUGCUUGUCUAAGAAAGAAAUAAAUCGUUUUGAUAUAUGUAGUUUAUGAAACAAUUAGAUUCAUAUAUUUUGUAUUAAAAUUCAGUUUGUGGUAAUUAAGAAAUAUCUCGAGACUUUUGUCUGGAAGUUUCUGUAACCAUUUGCACUGAGUGUGUGGUGACACGAACAACACCAGAAAGUGAGAUAUCUGUGUACGAUAGAUAUGGAUUUGGAUUUUACUAGUGAAAAGAUAGUUCACUAUUAUGGUGUCCUACGAAACAGAACAUGCAUGCAAACAAGUACAGCAGACCAAAGCUAAGUGAGCUGCUUGUGCUAGGUAAAACCAAUAGAGGAUCGGAGAACAACGCACAUUAAACCGAAUAAACGUUUUUAUUGAGAAGAAACAAAGACACCAGAAAAGUUCAUAACAUAAAUAGUCACAAGUUUUUUUAAAACACUCCUUUAUUGCAACUCCUUUCACAUAAAGAAGUAUCAAGGGGAAAUUUUCUUAGUUAAAAAAAACUUGUCCUUAAGCAUCUACGGUUUCAGCUGAAUCAGCAGCUGCUAAGACAAGCUCCGGGCUUAGGUCUCCGACAUACGAUCCAUCAAUAACAUUGGGCUGUCCCAAAGCUUUUAGAGCCAGAUGUGCCGCCUUCUGUCCUGAUAUCAUCAUAGCUCCGAACGUUGGUCCCUGCACAUCACAUAUUCAUUCACUCAGUAUAUCAUCCUACUAUAAAUGAUUGAUUCAAGGAAAGGGAAACAAACUCACCAUUCUUGGUGCACCAUCGAUCUCAGCAACUUCCAUACCGGUCACGAUCAUACCGGGAACAACCUCCCUGGUCAACCUCACAAUCGCAUCCUCAGCUGUGUUCAUGUCAAGAGCUUUCAUCCCAGGAACAUGGUCAAUCAACCCAAUGCUCUUCAACCUCUUCACACCGGUGGCUCCAAAGGGACCGUCGUGACCGCACGAGCUCACGACAAUCUUGGCCUCCAUGACGUUAGGGUCCAUGCAAGACUGUGUGUCGUGGUUCAUUGACACAAGAGCCCAGUUAGUCACCACACCGCCGACUCUGUUUCCUUUCACGAUCAGAUCCUCAGCGGCGACAGCGUUGAAGAGCUUGACGUUGGGACGAGCCAAAAGCUUGCUCAUGAUGGUGGAUGUGAAGAGAGCAGCGUGCUUGAUCACGACGUAGUUGUCUUGCUCAUCGUAGGCUACACCAAUCUCGUCAAGGAACAAGUGAGCUGGUUUGCGCACAAUCUGUUAAACACGGAUAUACAAUAACUUCAGUCUACUACACAUUACCAAUCACAUGCAAACCAAUCUAUGUACUUAAACACAUAAGAAGCUCUUAACACAGAGAGAGUUCGGAUAAAACAUUAUCAUGGGACAAUCUGUCCAACACAAACACACACAGGGCCCGCUAAAUCCCCCAGUAUCUUGAUAGCUUAAGGAUCAAAUAUUUUUUGUAUAUACAAAUUUUUAUAGAGAAAAUUUUAAAUAUUCACUAAAUUUGGUUGAAAAGUAGGCAUAUUUUAUGUGUACAUAAUUUGUUUUCAUCACAAAUUUUAUAAAGAUGUUGAUGAUAAAAUAAUUAAAAAAUAUUUUAAAAAACAUAAAUAUUAAAAACUUCAAUUUUUUUGCGCAUGAGUCCAAAUAAAUAUUGAGCCGUCCCUGAAUAUACAAUAACUCCAGUCCAGAGCAUACAUAUUCGCAUAUGACAUCCAAUAUAUUAAUGGUUAGUAUGUAUUAUAUCAUUCAGUCCUAAAUGAUUUUAAAAUAUAUGUGUUUAGUAAUUGUUUAAGCCUAAUAAUCUCAGAGCCCGCCUUGGCUUCCAUGAACACAAAUUAAUUAAACCAAACCUUAGUAGUUCCUCAGUAGUGUGACAUGCAAGUUAGUCUAAGUACUGAAACACUAUAUAGCAAGCUCUUACCACAAAGAGAGUUCGAAUAAAACAUUACCAUGGCGGAGAAAAGCUGACCACCGAGCCACGCGCCACCACCAGGACUGACAGAUUGCUCGAUGAUUGCGACCUGAACGUUAGGGUUCUUGCUGAUCUCGUAAGCACACGAUAGUCCAGCGGAGCCAGCACCAACGACGACGACGUCGGUCUCGGCGUAAGUGAUCAUAUCAGUCAUGUACCUCCUCGUCAUCUCGCGAGACACGAUGGACUCCUUGAUGGGGUCAAAAGUGAAGGCGUUCAGAUCGUAGCCAGCGGUGGCGCGGACGGAGAGGGAGCGCGGUUUGAGACCGACGGAGACAGGUGCGGCGGAGGAGAUGGAUGAGCCAUGGAAAUAGGAGUCGAAAAGGCGCUGAGGCUUGGUGGAAGAGAGGGAGAGAGUAGAGGUGAUGGACGCCAUAUUUGAGAGGUGUGUUUAUGUUUUGAGUGACGAUGAAGAUGAUGGUGGUGAAGUGAAACUGUGGUGGCUGUUGAAUAUUUAAAUUAGAAGAUGAAGAAAUAUCUGGAGAGUGAUGGCCACGUCAGAGAUAAGGCAUGAAGGGUCGUCGAUUUUUUGUUUUAUUUUUU
rnacentral:lncRNA from 1 species